AUAAUAUUCGGAACUUCAGUCUAUCGAGCAAUAUCACCCGCUUGGUAGACGAUUUUCCCUUUUAACGU
rnacentral:pre_miRNA from 1 species